rnacentral:sRNA from 1 species
GGAAGGAUCAUUAUCGAAUAAAACUUGAACAGGUUGUUGCUGGCUCUCCUCGAUGGAGGGGGUUGUGCACGCUUGUCAUUUUUAUCUCAUUUCUCCUCUGUGCACCAGCUGUAGGUCUGGAGUGUUUGAAAUAUCGAUUGAGGACUGCUGUGCUUUUUGAAAGAGUCGGCUUUGCCUUGCAUCUCCAGGUCUAUGUUUACAAUCUCUCAAUGUGUUUGGAAUGUCAAAUUAUAUGUAUAACAUACAACUUUCAGCAACGGAUCUCUUGGCUCUCGCAUCGAUGAAGAACGCAGCGAAAUGCGAUAAGUAAUGUGAAUUGCAUAAUUCAGUGAAUCAUCCAAUCUUUGAACGCAUCUUGCGCUCCUUGGUAUUCUGAGGAGCAUGCCUGUUUGAGUGUCAUCAAGUUCUCAACCGCAUUGAUUUGCUUUGAUGUGGAUUGGACAUGGGGUUUGCAGGCCCCUUUCAAAGGGUUCUGCUUCUCUGAAAUAGAUUAGUGGCAAUCUGAGCAGAUAUACUACUACGGGUGCGAUAACUAUCUAUGCCUUUUUGUGAAAUCCUGCGCAAACUGCUUCUAAUCUCAUUU